GUGGAUACAGCAAUUUUAUCUCCACGGGCAGAGUUGCAAUAAGCCUGUUUACAUACUGACACCAACAACAUAGCAUUAGGUAUCUCUAUAACCAUCUGUGCUCGCAUGCUAAGUUGCUACAGUCGUGUCCGGCUCUUUGCGACCCCAUGGACUGUAGCCUGCCAGGAUCCUCUGUCCAUAGGAUUCUCCAGGCAAGAAUACUGGAGUGGGUUGCCAUUUCCUCCUCCACAGGAUCUUCCCAACCCAAGGAUUGAACUUGUGUGUCCUGAGGCUCCUGCAUUGCAGGCUCCUCUGUCCAUGGUCUCCAGGCAAGAAUACUGGAGUGAGCUGCCAUUCCCUUCUCCAGGGAAUCUUCCCAAUCCAGGGAUCAAACCUGCGUCUCUUACGUCUCCUGCACUGGCAGGCGGGUUCUCCACCACUAGCACCACCUGAGA
ensembl:lncRNA